rnacentral:ncRNA from 1 species
CGAAAAUAGAGUGGCAGGUUGGUAUCUCCUGCGCCCCGCGAGGGGUUCUAUGCAUGCCACGG